rnacentral:rRNA from 1 species
CCUACGGGAGGCAGCAGUGAGGAAUAUUGGUCAAUGGACGAGAGUCUGAACCAGCCAAGUAGCGUGAAGGAUGACUGCCCUCUGGGUGUUAAACUUCUUUUAUAAAGGAAUAAAACGAGGCACGUGUGCCUUUUUGCAUGAACUUUAUGAAUACGGAUCGGCCAACUCGGUGCCAGCGGCGGCGGUAAUACGGAGGGUCCGAUCGUUAUACGGAUUUAUUGGGUUUAAGGGGAGGGUAGAUGGGUGGUUAAGUCAGGUGGGAAUGCUUGCGGCCAAACCGUGAAAUUGCAAUUGAGACUGGCAGGCUGGAGUACAGGUGAGGUAGGAGGAAUUCGUGGUGUAGCGGUGAAAUGCGUAGAUAUCACGAAGAACCCCGAUUGCGAAGGCAGCUUACUAAACUGUGACUGACAUUGAUGCUCGAAAGUGUGGGUAUCAAACAGGAUUAGAUACCCUUGUAGUC